rnacentral:rRNA from 1 species
AGCAGCCGCGGUAAUUCCAGCUCCAAUAGCGUAUAUUAAAGUUGUUGCAGUUAAAAAGCUCGUAGUUGAAUUUCGGGAUCAAAUUGUCGGUCGUGCCUCGGUACGAACUGGUAUUAUUGGUUCCUCCCUUCUGAAGAACCGCGAUGUCAUUAAUUUGGUGUCGUGGGGAAUCAGGACUGUUACUUUGAAAAAAUUAGAGUGUUUAAAGCAGGCUUACGCUUGAAUACAUUAGCAUGGAAUAAUGAAAUAGGACGUUUGAUUCUAUUUUGUUGGUUUCUAGGAUUGACGUAAUGAUUAAUAGGGAUAGUUGGGGGCAUUAGUAUUCAAUUGUCAGAGGUGAAAUUCUUGGAUUUAUUGAAGACUAACUACUGCGAAAGCAUUUGCCAAGGAUGUUUUCAUUAAUCAAGAACGAAAGUUAGGGGAUCGAAGACGAUCAGAUACCGUCGUAGUCUUAACCAUAAACUAUGCCGACUAGGGAUCGGA